UGAGCAAUCUGCCCUUCUCAAUCGGAAAUAAGCGUUGGAAACGACGUCUAAUGCCGAAUACGACCUCCUUUCGCAUGAUCGGAGGUGGAAAGCUCCGGCGGAGAAGGAUGAGCUCGCGGCCUAUCAGCUAGUUGGUGUGGGUAAUGGCCCACAAGGCGACGACGGGUAGCCGGCCUGGAGAGGGUGACCGGCCACACUGGGACUGAGACACGGCCCAGACCUCCGUACGGGAGCA
rnacentral:rRNA from 1 species